rnacentral:rRNA from 1 species
UACGUAGGGGGCAAGCGUUGUCCGGAUUUAUUGGGCGUAAAGAGCGUGUAGGCGGUUUGGUAGGUCCGCUGUGAAAACUCGAGGCUCAACCUCGAGACGCCGGUGGAAACCAUCAGGCUAGAGUCCGGAAGAGGAGAGUGGAAUUCCUGGUGUAGCGGUGAAAUGCGCAGAUAUCAGGAGGAACACCAACAGCGAAGGCAGAUCUCUGGGACGUUACUGACGCUGGAGAACGCGAAAGCGUGGGGAGCAAACAGG